GGCUUCUGAUAUGUAGUGAUCAUUCUUCUAAUUUUAAAAUCAGUUAUUAUUGUAGGCUUGUGUAUCAGGAAGUGUGACUUUUGGCACCACACAUGCAGUUACUGAAGAGAGUCCUGUUUUUUCUUUCCUGAGUUUUUUAUUUAAGGUAAAUACUGUGCAAAACCCUACUAGAAACCAAGGGGCAGAUCCAGGACAGGAGGCUUUCAUUCACAAAAUUCUAGAGAUGCAUGACAGAAGUAGAAAUGACUAAGGUGUGGUUUUAGAAGAGUCACAUCCUAAUCAGUUCUUCAGCUACCUCCAGAACCUCUCUCUUUUUUUAAAACCAGUUUAUAGUUUGGAGGUGAACUGGAUUGCAGUUGACACAAACUUAGGAUCUCAGUUGUCACCUUACGACUCAUCUGGUACCACGGGAAGCCUGCUGACACCUUAAUGAGAUGCUAACUGCAAAGGCAGGCCAGUUUGGUUUCCGAAGUAAAAGCUGCAGCUUGCCUCCCCAGUAACUGCUGCUAGGAUGAAGCAGUCCUCUUUUCGGAGCACUUUCCAGUGCGGCUGUGGAAAGCUGUAACCAAGCAACGAGCCAGCUCUGGCCCCCAGUGCUGGCCGAUGAGGGCUCUGCCGGCCUUUCAACGGGAACACGCUGCUGCCGCUGCUGCCCCAACAGGCACGUUGUCUCCAUGAAGAUAUGAGGACUGUGGAGGAGAAGCAGUAGUGAAGAAGGUGGGGGGCAAAUAAGGUACCCCAGAUAGAUUUGCCACUCAAGCCACCACUUCUCCAGUACAAUCAGACCUCUGCCUGUCAGAUUGCCUUGAUUGAGAUCAAAGUUCAGGGGUUGUAUUAUGUUACCCAAAGAUUGCUUUGCUCCUGUUAUUUUCUAAGAAUUGCAUGGAUCUGUACUGAACAGCUUAAGAAAUGGAACUUUCUUCUAAGUGAGCAGUCCUCUUUUCCUGUAAUGAAAAGUUGAAACCUGUCACUCUGAGAAGGAUGGAGAACUGAUUUGUUCAGUUUCAGGAACAAAACAAUAUUCUGUUGCUAUUUCAGAGGAAAUAAACUUAAUUCUGAGAAUUCUGUGAGUGUGCGG
rnacentral:lncRNA from 1 species